GCAACUUGGAUCCCACCGGCAGAGGGAGAGGUUAGGAUGACUGUAGAUGGGGUUGUGGCCAAGUCCUCCAACACGGGUGCUGUGGGCGUUGUGUGCCGUAGCGCAGCCGGGCUGUUUUUGGGUGCUUCUACUGUGGUUUUUUAAGGUGUGACUGAACCGACGACUUUGGAAGCAUAUGCUUGCAGGGAGGCUCUCGCAUUAGCUGAUGAUUUGGUUGUGAACAAAGUGUGA
rnacentral:rRNA from 1 species